rnacentral:hammerhead_ribozyme from 1 species
AUCUAACUGACGAGUCCCGAACAGGACGAAACACAUAUUCUGGAU